AUUUGGGGUCAGAUGCUGAGAUUUGGGGCCGAUUGGGCUGAAUUUGGGGUCGGGUGCUGAGGUUUGGGGUCAGUCUGUGAGAGUUUGGGGUCAGAUGCUGAGAUUUGGGGUCAGAUGCUGAGAUUUGGGGCCGAUUGGGCUGAAUUUGGGGUCAGAUGCUGAGAUUUGGGGUCAUUUCAUGAGAGUUCGGGGUCAGAUGCUGAGAUUUGGGGUCAGAUGCUGAGAUUUGGGGCCGAUUGGGCUGAAUUUGGGGUCGGGUGCUGAGGUUUGGGGUCAGUCUGUGAGAGUUUGGGGUCAGAUGCUGAGAUUUGGGGUCAUUUUGUGAGAGUUUGGGGUCAGGUGCUGAGAUUUGGGGUCAGGUGCUGAGAUUUGGGGUGAAUUCAGUGGGAUUUGGGGUCAUUUCCUGAGGUUUUUGGGGUCAGGUGCUGAGAUUUGGGGUCAGGUGCUGAGAUUUGGGGCCAAUUCAGCUGAAUUUGGGGUCAUUUCCUGAGAUUUGGGGUCGUUUUGUGGGAGUUUGGGGUGGAUUCUUUGGGAUUUGGGGUCAGGUCCUGCGAUUUUGGGGUCGAUCCCGGGGAUUUUGGGGUCACUUCUGUGCAAUUUGGGGUCGAUUCGGUUCCCAUUCCCCCCUCUUGGGGUCCCAAUCCCAAACAUUUGGGGUCGUUUCCUGGCAAUUGGGGUCCGCUGUGCCAAAUCCCAUUGAAUCCCCCCCAACUUCUGCCCCUAUUGGUGCCCCCCCUCCAAGUGCCUUCACCCACCCCAAAAAUGGGGGGGGUCCCCCGACCCCACAAUGUGCCCCCCCGACCCCACAAUCCACCCCUAAGACCCAUAACUCCCCCCCCCAGCCUUCCCCGACCCCAUAACCCCCCAGGUGCACCCCAACCCCACAAGGUGCCCCAUAACCCCCCCCCGACCCCUCAUCCUGACCCCACUAUGUGCCCCCCCCAACCCCAUAACCCACCCAUUAACCCUCCCCCAGCCCCCCCCCCCGACCCCAUAACCCCCCAAGGCGCACCCCAACCCCACAGUGUGCCCCAUAACCCCCCCCGACCAACCCCACAUCCUGACCCCAUAACCCCCCCCCAACCCCACAUCCUGACCCCACUUUGUGCCCUCCCCGACCCCACAACCCCCCAAGGCGCACCCCAACCCCACAAGGUGCCCCGUAACCCCCCCGAACAACCCCACAUCCUGACCCC
rnacentral:lncRNA from 1 species